rnacentral:lncRNA from 1 species
GGGCGCCAACCCAGACAGGAAGACCACGUCAGUGACUCAACCCACUCAAGUGACGCACCCCUCCUAGGGACGGCAUGGAAGAGCACCAGUAAGCCAGUGACUCAGCCCCUGUAAUAGGGUUAGAGGCAGAGAAUCCCAGUGGAGAGAGGGGAACUGGCCAGGCAGAGACAGCAAGGGCGGUUCGUUGCUCCAGUGCCUUUUCGUUCACCUUCACACUCCUGGGCCAGACUACACUCAAUCAUAGGACCUACUGAAGAGAUGAGUCUUCAAUAAAGACUUAAAGGUUGAGACCAAGUCUGCGUCUCUCACAUGGGUUUUUCAAGUUUGCUGACUGACACCUUGCCAGACAUUUGGAGCUAAUUCUCUAGCUAUCGAGAUGGAAAAUCGAGGAAGGGGAUCGUAACUCACAGGCAGAAAAACGGCCAUUACAAAACCACCCACCAUAAGAAGACCAAGCAGCGUGGAUUGGAGCAUCGGGUUGACGGAUGGACUUGGCAGAAAGAGCGAAGAUUCUGGGAGGACAAGUUACGGGAGCUACGGGAGCCCGAGAGGCAGCCCCCCAAUUUUUUUGGGGGGGGGCACACGAGAAGUUGGCCUGAGUCAGGAUGGAAUACUGAGCCAACUUCCCGUGCUUACAGGAGGCAUCAAAGUACUGGUCAGGCACCGUGUUAUGCGGUAGAGCGCACGUUGUCCCCAGUACGCGUUGAGAGCCCGGUGCGCUACAUCCCAGCUCCUAACAUCUGUCGGGCAAUUAAGUAAUCCUUCUAGGUAAGUAAUCCGCCUACGCACCAGAUCUCCAGUGCGACCCCACAGUCCAGUACGCCCUGUUCCUGCUCCUCGCACUAGCCUUGAGGUGCGGAUCUCCAGUCUGGUACCUCCAGUGCCAUCACCACGCACCAGGCCUCCAGUGCAUCAGCCCAGUCC